GUUUGGUCCUAGCUUUACUAUCAAUUGUUUCUUAACUUACACAUGCAAGUCUCAGCACACCUGUGAGAAAGCCCUUUUCCCUACACCAGUUCAAGGAGCCGGCAUCAGGCACAAGCCUUGACCCAUGACGCCUAGUUUUACCACACCCACAAGGGUACUCAACAGUGAUAAACAUUGAAUAUGAGCGACAACUCGAUUCAGUUAAAGAAAAAAGAGUCGGCCAAAUCGAUGCCAGCCGCCGCGGCUAAACCGUAGACCCAAAUUGAUAAUUUUUCGGCGUAUAGCGUGAUUAAGGCAAUUUUAUCUUAGAGUUAAAUAAACACUAAGUUGUGAAAAUUUUGUUGUUUAAAAAACCAGAAACGAAAGUUACUCUAAUUAACGCCUGAAUACACGACAACUAAGACUCAAACCGGGAUCAGAUACCCCGCUAUGCUUAGUCGUAAAAUAUUUACUUACACCUUUCAACGCCAGGGCAUUACGAGCUUUAGCUUAAAACCCAAAGGACUUGACGGUGUCCCGCCCACCUAGAGGAGCCAUUCUAUAAUCGAUACCCCCCCCCCCUUUACCCUCCCACUUUUAGCCUAUCAGCCUGUAUACCUCCGUCGUAAGCUUACCGUGUGAACGUCUGCAGUAAGCUAAAUAACUUUUCGUCAACACGUCAGGUCAAGAUGCAGCCCAUAAAGUGGCAAGCAAUGGGCUACAAUUUCUAAUUUAGAACAAACGGACAAACUGUAAUGAAACAGUUUAGAAGGAGGAUUUAGUAGUAAAAAGGAAACACGAGAGUCCUUUUUAAUUCGGCACUGGGACGUGUACACACCGCCCGUCACCCUCUUCACAGUACUAAUACAUGUUUUUAACAUAUGCCUACACUUUAGAAGAAGCAAGUCGUAACACGGUAAGUGUACUGGAAAGUGCACUUGGAUGAACAAAAUGUAGUUUAACUAAAUCCUCUCGCUUACACCGAGACAAUAUCUGCUCAACUCAGAUCAUUUUGAACCUUAAUUCUAGCCCUCCUCCCCCUCAUGACUUCUUACACUAUCUUUUUAUCUUAAAACAUUUUAUUAGCUUCAGUAAGGGUGACUAAAAAACCAAUAGGCGCUUUAAAUUUAGUGCCGCAAGGGAAUGAUGARAUAGAAAUGAAACAAYUUAUUAARUAUUAAACAGCAAAGAUUAAAACUUGUACCUUUUGCAUCAUGGUCUAACUAGNCNAACCAANCAAAAANNAUUUUAAGUUUGCCCCCCCGAAACUAAGCGAGCUACUCCAGAACAGCCUUCAGGGCCAACCCGUCUCUGUUGCAAAAGAGUGGGAAGAUUUUCGAGUAGAAGUGACAUACCUACCGAGCUUAGAGAUAGCUGGUUUU
rnacentral:ncRNA from 1 species